rnacentral:rRNA from 1 species
UACGUAGGGUGCGAGCGUUGUCCGGAAUUAUUGGGCGUAAAGAGCUCGUAGGCGGUGUGUCACGUCGGCCGUGAAAACCUGCAGCUUAACUGUGGGCGUGCGGUCGAUACGGGCAGACUGGAGUACUGCAGGGGAGACUGGAAUUCCUGGUGUAGCGGUGGAAUGCGCAGAUAUCAGGAGGAACACCGAUGGCGAAGGCAGGUCUCUGGGCCACUACUGACGCUGAGAAGCGAAAGCGUGGGGAGCGAACAGG